AAUGCCAGGCCGAGAGCGAGGCGGUCAGCUGUGUCUGUGUGUGAAGUAGUCUUGAUUCAGUUCAGUCGUCAUUUUGCAGCGUUACUGUGUGGUGGCAGCGUCCCUUACUGCUCUCAGGAACGUUGCCAUGUCUGGAACACUUCAGCAUCAACAUGUGGAAGUUUGGAGCCGUGAAGCCAGUGUUGGUGGUGGUGGUGGUGCAGAGCCUGCAGGAUGAAAUUAACUUGUUUGAGUGGCAGCCCAGCGCUCAAAGUCUCCACCUCACCAAUGCACUAAUAAAGAUUGUGUUAAGAUAUGGAGAAAUACAGACCAAGGCAAGAGGAGGAGGAGGAAGAGAGAGGUAGCAGAAGUUAAGAAGAGGAAGGGAUGGAAUGAAGAGAAAAAAAAAGAAAAGUAUGUCGUGACCAAAGCGCGGACAGUGAAAGGAGGUGAAUGCAAGCUGACCUGACCUGAGGACCUCGGUGAUUGGCUGACCCGACCCAGCGCCGUGACGUCAAAUGGAAGGUUUAAACUGAUUGGGUCUGGCACCAUAAAGUGAGGAAGGUGAGGUGACAAUGGAAUGUGGGUGUGUAUGGAAUGUCCGCGCUGCGUGAGAUGGUGCAAUCAAAAUUGAG